GUAGGUGGCAAGCGUUGUCCGGAAUUAUUGGGCGUAAAGCGCGCGCAGGCGGAAAUUUAAGUCUAUCUUAAAAGUGCGGGGCUCAACCCCCGUGAUGGGAUAGAAACUGGAUUUCUUGAGUGUCGGAGAGGACAGUGGAAUUCCCAGUGUAGCGGUGAAAUGCGUAGAUAUUGGGAGGAACACCAGUGGCGAAGGCGACUGUCUGGACGAUGUCUGACGCUGAGGCGCGAAAGCCAGGGUAGUGAACGGGAUUAGAUACCCCGGUAAUCCUGGCCGUAAACGAUGGGUACUAGGUGUUGGGGGUAUCGGACCCCUCCAGUGCCGGAGUUAACGCAAUAAGUACCCCGCCUGGGGAGUACGGCCGCAAGGUUG
rnacentral:rRNA from 1 species